rnacentral:rRNA from 1 species
AGCAGCCGCGGUAAUUCCAGCUCCAAUAGCGUAUAUUAAAGUUGUUGCAGUUAAAAAGCUCGUAGUUGAAUUUCGGGGUUAGUAGAUUGGUCGUGCCAUUGGUACGUACUGGUCUCACUGAUUCCUCCUUCCUGAUGAACCGUAAUGCCAUUAAUUUGGUGUUGCGGGGAAACUGGACUGUUACUUUGAAAAAAUUAGAGUGUUUAAAGCAGGCUAACGCUUGAAUACAUUAGCAUGGAAUAAUGAAAUAGGACGUUCGAUCCUAUUUUGUUGGUUUCUAGGAUUGACGUAAUGAUUAAUAGGGAUAGUUGGGGGCAUUAGUAUUCAAUUGUCAGAGGUGAAAUUCUUGGAUUUAUUGAAGACUAACUACUGCGAAAGCAUUUGCCAAGGAUGUUUUCAUUAAUCAAGAACGAAAGUUAGGGGAUCGAAGACGAUCAGAUACCGUCGUAGUCUUAACCAUAAACUAUGCCGACUAGGGAUCGGAUGAUGUUAAUUUUUUAAUGACUCAUUCGGCGCCUUACG